rnacentral:misc_RNA from 1 species
GGUACUAAAGCAUGCUAUAAGGUCGAGGAAGUUCAAGAGGUCGUACAAAAUGGAUGUCCUGGUUUAGUGAUUCCUCAGAGAGGUCCUUGCCUCUAUCGCUGUUCUCUGCAACUUCCAGAAUUUUCAGUAGUCUCUGAAGCCUUCAGAAGAAAGAAGGAUGCCGAGCAAUCUGCUGCUGAGAAGGCUAUACAACAGCUAGGUAUCCAGCCUAAAGAAGUUAAUCUCACUGUGGAGCAAGCAUGGGAUGAAUUGGUUGGUCGACUAUCAUAUUUGUUUUCAAUUGAGUUCCUUCCUGCAAUUCACCCACUUAGUGGUCACUUCAGAGCAGCGUUGGUGAGAGAAGGUCACCUCAAUGGGUUUAUUCCUCUGGUAGCUAUUGCCACGUUUGAUGCAAAGAUCAAUAGCUUAUGUAAAUGUAUAUCAUCUGAAAUGGAAUCAAAUCCCUCGUUGGUGAUGUCCCUUAUUAUUGAAGCUGCAAAGAGAUUAGAAGAUUCCCUCUUGUUCU